CAUGUGUGUGCCUGCCUGCCUAGUUUUGGCUUUUCUGUGCUCCCAUGUAUCCUGACUUCACUUCAGCUUGCCAUCUCCUGUGUUUGGGCCCCCCUGCUGCACUCUGCAUAACAAAGAGUACCUUGAUGAUCUACAUCACCAUCACCUACGUGCUGCAGUCUCUGAGCCUUGGGGCUGCCGAGUGUUGGCUUUGCGAUGAUGUUUAAGUUCAAGGAAAGUGAAGUUCAAAGGCGACAGAGGGACGGCGGGCAGAGGGCCUCCUGCUCCCGCCGCUGCACCAAGAGCCUCCAUCCAUCACCGUGUCACUCCAGGCCCGUAGCACACCUGCACCAAAACCACAUGGAGGUAAGGCUCUGGUUCCGCUGCUCCACUCCACUACAGCAAGAAAUGUUCCAGCGACCCGAGGCUAUAGGCUCCAUAUAG
rnacentral:lncRNA from 1 species